CCUACGUGUGGCAGCAGUGAGGAAUAUUGGUCAAUGGUCGGGAGCCUGAACCAGCCAAGCCGCGUGAGGGAUGAAGGUACAGAGUAUCUUAAACCUCUUUUGUCAGGGAACAAAGGCGCUUACGUGUCCCCGGCUGAGUGUACCUUAAGAAAAAGCAUCGGCUAACUCCGUGCCAGCAGCCGCGGUAAUACGGAGGAUGCGAGCGUUAUCCGGAUUUAGUGUGUUUAAGGGGUGCGAAGUCGGGCUGUUAAGUCAGCGCUAAAAGCCCGGGGCUCAACCUGGGCGCGCCGUUGAAACUGGCUGUCUUGAGAUGUCGAGAGGUAUGCGGAAUGCGCAGUGUAGCGGUGAAAUGCUUAGAUAUUGCGAAGAACUCCGAUUGCGAAGGCAGCAUACCGGAGGCGAUCUGACGCUGAGGCACGAAAGCGUGGGUAUCGAACAGGAUUAGAUACCCCAGUAGUC
rnacentral:rRNA from 1 species